GACGAACGCUGGCGGCGUGCUUAACACAUGCAAGCCGAACGGAAAGGCCCUGCUUUUGUGGGGUGCUCGAGUGGCGAACGGGUGAGUAACACGUGAGUAACCUGCCCUUGACUUUGGGAUAACUUCAGGAAACUGGGGCUAAUACCGGAUAGGAGCUCCUGCUGCAUGGUGGGGGUUGGAAAGUUUCGGCGGUUGGGGAUGGACUCGCGGCUUAUCAGCUUGUUGGUGGGGUAGUGGCUUACCAAGGCUUUGACGGGUAGCCGGCCUGAGAGGGUGACCGGCCACAUUGGGACUGAGAUACGGCCCAGACUCUUACGGGAGGCAGCAGUGGGGAAUAUUGCACAAUGGGCGAAAGCCUGAUGCAGCAACGCCGCGUGCGGGAUGAGGGCCUUCGGGUUGUAAACCGCUUUGGCCUGGGACGAAGCGUGAGUGACGGUAAUGGGUAAGGAAGCACCGGCAAACUACGU
rnacentral:rRNA from 1 species